GGCCCGCUGGCGUAAUGGUAACGCGUUGCUCUCCUACUAUGGCCGUGAAGCAAAGAUUGGGGGUUCGACCCCCCCGUGGGUCG